AUCCAGCUGACGAGUCCCAAAUAGGACGGAACGCGGGUCCUCGAC
rfam:Schistosoma mansoni strain Puerto Rico chromosome 3, complete genome